UAAUUUAAUAUUUUUCCACAAAAAGGGAAAGACAAAGAGUGUGUUUGGUGUUGCGGUAAAUGAUGUGGUUGUGGUUUGAAAAAAGUUGUUUUAUAAAAAGUAUUUUUAGUUGA